GAUGAACGCUGGCGGCGUGCCUAAUACAUGCAAGUCGAGCGAACAGACGAGGAGCUUGCUCCUCUGACGUUAGCGGCGGACGGGUGAGUAACACGUGGAUAACCUACCUAUAAGACUGGGAUAACUUCGGGAAACCGGAGCUAAUACCGGAUAAUAUAUUGAACCGCAUGGUUCAAUAGUGAAAGACGGUUUUGCUGUCACUUAUAGAUGGAUCCGCGCCGCAUUAGUUAGUUGGUAAGGUAACGGCUUACCAAGGCAACGAGGCGUAGCCGACCUGAGAGGGUGAUCGGCCACACGGGAACAGAGACUCGGUCCAGACUCCUACGGGAGGCAGCAGUAGGGAAUCUUCCGCAAUGGGCGAAAGCCUGACGGAGCAACGCCGCGUGAGUGAUGAAGGUCUUCGGAUCGUAAAACUCUGUUAUUAGGGAAGAACAAAUGUGUAAGUAACUAUGCACAUCUUGACGGUACCUAAUCAGAAAGCCACGGCUAACUACGUG
rnacentral:rRNA from 1 species